GGCUCAGGAUGAACGCUAGCUACAGGCUUAACACAUGCAAGUCGAGGGGAAACGAUAUUGGAAGCUUGCUUCCGAUAGGCGUCGACCGGCGCACGGGUGAGUAACGCGUAUCCAACCUGCCCACCACUUGGGGAUAACCUUGCGAAAGUAAGACUAAUACCCAAUGAUAUCUCUAGAAGACAUCUGAAAGAGAUUAAAGAUUUAUCGGUGAUGGAUGGGGAUGCGUCUGAUUAGCUUGUUGGCGGGGUAACGGCCCACCAAGGCGACGAUCAGUAGGGGUUCUGAGAGGAAGGUCCCCCACAUUGGAACUGAGACACGGUCCAAACUCCUACGGGAGGCAGCAGUGAGGAAUAUUGGUCAAUGGGCGAGAGCUUGAACCAGCCAAGUAGCGUGCAGGAUGACGGCCCUAUGGGUUGUAAACUGCUUUUAUAAGGGAAUAAAGUGAGUCUCGUGAGACUUUUUGCAUGUACCUUAUGAAUAAGGACCGGCUAAUUCCGUGCCAGCAGCCGCGGUAAUACGGAAGGUCCGGGCGUUAUCCGGAUUUAUUGGGUUUAAAGGGAGCGUAGGCCGGAGAUUAAGCGUGUUGUGAAAUGUAGACGCUCAACGUCUGCACUGCAGCGCGAACUGGUUUCCUUGAGUACGCACAAAGUGGGCGGAAUUCGUGGUGUAGCGGUGAAAUGCUUAGAUAUCACGAAGAACUCCGAUUGCGAAGGCAGCUCACUGGAGCGCAACUGACGCUGAAGCUCGAAAGUGCGGGUAUCGAACAGGAUUAGAUACCCUGGUAGUCCGCACGGUAAACGAUGGAUGCCCGCUGUUGGUCUGAAUAGGUCAGCGGCCAAGCGAAAGCAUUAAGCAUCCCACCUGGGGAGUACGCCGGCAACGGUGAAACUCAAAGGAAUUGACGGA
rnacentral:rRNA from 1 species